rnacentral:rRNA from 1 species
UACGGAGGGUCCGAGCGUUAAUCGGAAUUACUGGGCGUAAAGCGUGCGCAGGCGGUUUGUUAAGCGAGAUGUGAAAGCCCUGGGCUCAACCUAGGAAUAGCAUUUCGAACUGGCGAACUAGAGUCUUGUAGAGGGGGGUAGAAUUCCAGGUGUAGCGGUGAAAUGCGUAGAGAUCUGGAGGAAUACCGGUGGCGAAGGCGGCCCCCUGGACAAAGACUGACGCUCAUGCACGAAAGCGUGGGGAGCAAACAGGAUUAGAUACCCUGGUAGUCCACGCCGUAAACGAUGUCUACUCGGAGUUUGGUGUCUUGAACACUGGGCUCUCAAGCUAACGCAUUAAGUAGACCGCCUGGGGAGUACGGCCGCAAGGUUAAA